rnacentral:rRNA from 1 species
UGGGGAAGAAAUUGCACUCUCUAAUACAGGGUGUAGAUGACGGUACCCGCAUAAGAAGCACCGGCUAACUACGUGCCAGCAGCCGCGGUAAUACGUAGGGUGCGAGCGUUAAUCGGAAUUACUGGGCGUAAAGCGUGCGCAGGUGGUUGUGUAAGUCAGAUGUGAAAUCCCCGGGCUCAACCUGGGAACUGCAUUUGAGACUGCACGGCUAGAGGAUGGCAGAGGGGGGUAGAAUUCCACGUGUAGCAGUGAAAUGCGUAGAUAUGUGGAGGAAUACCGAUGGCGAAGGCAGCCCCCUGGGCUAUUUCUGACACUCAUGCACGAAAGCGUGGGGAGCAAACAGGAUUAGAUACCCUGGUAGUCCACGCCCUAAACGAUGUCAACUAGAUGUUGGAAGGGUUAAACCUUUUAGUGUCGUAGCUAACGCGUGAA